rnacentral:lncRNA from 1 species
UCUUCCUUCUUAUAUCUGCUGUUUCUGUUUCAAGUUUUGAAUGCAUAUAUUAUCUCUUUUCAUCUGUUUUUUCCUCUUUUCUUUUUCAGUAUCUAGGAUAUCAAUGGCAUGCAUUAUUGCACUCCUUCUUUCCUUAGUUAGAAUUUAUUCUUUAACCUUGUUCUGUACAGGGUUUUGAUAUUUUAGUUUUUGACAUCAUAAACAAUUCAUUAAUGAUGAGAUCAAUUCAAAUGUCAAUUGUACUUGAAUAAUUGUGAAUACCUUGUGUUGCAUUGCUCAUUAUGAUCAUUUGAAACAAUUUUUCUUAGCAUAAUGUUAAAUAUCUGGAUUGUUGUGGUGUCAUGUUCUUCAAUUUGCAAGAUUAAAUAAAGGUGGAUUGAUCUUUUGAAAUUGCUUGGUAAAAACUAGAUGAGGAGCUGGUAAUGCAAAUAAGGGAAACUAUGUUAUAAUCAUUUUAAGCUUUGAUGAUAAUGGAGGAAUGAAAGGCAUUAGCCUAUGCACAGAGUUUUUGGUAAACAAUAGACUUCAGAUCUAAAUGCUAAAUGUUGACACCUUCAAUGUUAAUAACUAUUCAGUAGUCUGUGAGACAGGCUGAUUUUAAUGGGCAACAUAAUUUCUGGUACAUUCCUCAGUAAUGAAAAUAGCAUUGUAGCCAAAUAUUUUGCCACUUUCUUGAGAAGAAAUGAGGGAAGAAGGAAAACGGUGGUUUGCAGUGGAGUCCAAGUCCUUUGAGAUCUCUAUUGAGGGGCUUGGAGGGAAUCUGAGAGGGGUCAUAGUGGAGCGUGGAAGAGGUUAUUCCAGGUGGGUCAGAUUCGGGGAGUGCAGUCUAAGAUGCCUUCUGGCAGGAGUGGAAGCUUGUUGCAGAGAUGUUGAGAUGCCGAGGUGGAGCAAAGGAUGGAAGGAGAAUGGAAGGUUUCUUAGGCUCGAAUGCCGGGAGAAUGGGGCUAGAAGGUUCAUCUUCUGCAAAGUGGUCACGGCAGAAAAAAAGAGUUUCUCCCUGGUGUUCCCAGAAGGAGAAGGAAUCCAUGGGGGAUGGCUCAUAUUGGCUGAGAAUUUAAGGGCGCUCGGGGUGGUCCCUUUUUCUGAGGAAAAGGUGGAGCCAAAGGCUGUGUUCGGGAACAGCCGGAAGGUUGAAAGUGGGAUGAAUGGAGGUGAGAGGAUGUCAUAUGCAAGUGUAGUAAAAAAGAAUGAAUGUUUGGAGGAGGAGGCUAUUUGGUUGCAGAUUGGAGAAAGAGCUGUGCAGGGCAGAGAAGAGAAGCUUAGGAGGUGCUUGGUUGGGAAGUUUGAGGAGGGACCUUUGUUAGGUUCAGAGGUUCAGGUGUUGAAGGUGUGGGCUAAGAGCACUUGGCAGCUGAGAGGUGGCUUGCAGGUGCAUAUUUUUGGGGGUUCUUUAAUCCUCUUUGAGUUUGAGGAUGUCUUGGAGGCAGAAAGGGUGUUGAAGAGAGGAUCUAGAAGAUUCAGGGAGAGACUCAUCAGUUUGGAAAGAUGGUAUCAUGAGACGGGGUGCUUGGUACAGGAGGAGGCUUACAAGGAGGCGUGGGUGAGAGUAUUGGGUCUCCCUUUACAUUUGUGGAGCCGUGAAGUGCUCAUUAAAAUCGGGGGCUGCUGUGGGGGAUUCUUAGAAGUGGAUGAAGGUGCGGAGAAUGCGGUCCAAAUGCAGUGGGCUAGGAUCCUAGUGAGAUCGAGCGGGAGAAGACUUCCCGGUUCCUUGCAGCUAGUGAUCGGGUCUAUAUGCUACUCAAUCCAAUUGUGGUGGGAAAUACUCCCGAAAUUUUCAGUGGUUGUUCCGAGAAGCUACAGUGAAGGGUCGCCUGAGUCGAAGGUUAGAGGUGACAUCGGUGGUGAUCCACGCGCGAGCAAGGGGGUGGAGAAAGACCUUGGUCAGGAGCAGACUGGCAAAGAAGACGUGUCAAGCUCUGGAGGGAAGAGUGGCUGUUUAGGGGAAGGAGUGGACAGCCAUCUCCAAAAGGUAGUUGCAGGCGGGGACGUCUUUGGAGGCGGUGGCAGGAGGGCCUGUUUGGAGAUGACAGGGGACUCUAAGGGAGCAAGCGGGCCAGUGGGGGAAAGUCCAAUUGGGAGGCAACAGGAUAAGAGGGGAGUUGGGCCUGUGUUUGAGUUGAGGGAAGGAUUGGGCUGGGCCCAUUUCGGAGGCCCUUCUAUUUUAAGUGAGGGGGACAGCUUGGGGGUGGAGAACCUGUUAGGGCUCAUCGCGGGGGAUGAUCGCGCAGCAGCGACUGUCCCGAUGGAGUGGAUCGAGCCGCCGGAAGCUUGGAACUCAGGCGCCGAUGAAGUUCUCCAGGCUGAAGCGGCAAGGUAUUCCUCUUUUCCCUGUCCUUUGAUGCCUCGGGGGGCGCGGGCUUUCUCUCCUUCUUCUAUUUCUUGUCGGAAAAGAGCGGCGAAAGGGUAUCGGGGGGUGCGGGCCUCCUAUUCUUCUCCUCUUUCAUGCCGGAAAAGAACGGCGAGUGGGUCUCGAAGACGCGGCUGUGGAUCGGCGACGGAAAUGGAUGGAGUGGAUGGGGACAUUAGCCCCUUGAAUAUGGUAUUGGCUGACGGAAGGGGUGAGGAGGGCUGUUCCGGGGAGGAAAUGGCCAUGGUUUUGGUCGGAGAGACAAGUAUUGAUGAAAAAUACUCCUUGAGGCAGACUGUGGGUGGUACGGAGUCAGUGGAAGAUUGGAAAUCCUCUUGUCUUGCUCAGUUUAGUGAUUUUCUGGGCAUGCCAACCACGGGAUGUGAAGAGGAAAUUUUAAAUAUGCUCAAGAGAUGGAUCAUGAGGAAAGAUCAGAAGAACCAGAGGAUUGGGGCUAAAAGGGCCAAGGUAGAAACCUCAAAGUCAGUAAGGGAACUUAAAAGGUUGGAGUGCUCCAUUAAUUUUAAAAGCUCAGGGCAUGGAAGAGCUCUAUUUAGAGAGAGUGGGGGGUCAGUCUCUGAGGGCAAAUGAAGAUAAGAAUUAUAUCCUGGAAUGUGAGAGGGGCAAAUGAUAGAGAUAAAAGAAGGCUCAUCAAAUCUCUAAUCAAGACUCAGAAAGCGGAUUUGGUUUGUCUACAAGAGACCAAAAUCCAAAGAAUGUCGUCUAGUAUAGUUCGGUCCUUGGGGGUGGGAAGAUCAUUGGAGUGGGGUGCUCUUGAUUCUCAGGGUAUGGCAGGGGGGGUGUUAGUUUUUUGGGAUACUAGAGUUCUAGAGCUAUUGGAAAUGGAAAUUGGGAAUUUUUCAGUCUCUUGUCGAUUUAAAGACGCGGAGGAUGGUUUCUGUUGGGUUUUUACAGGGGUAUAUGGCCCUGCUGUUGGGAGGUUGAGGGAGGAUUUCUGGGAGGAAUUGGGGACAAUCAGGGGAUUGUGGCAGGACCCGUGGUGUUUAGGGGGAGAUUUUAAUGUUAUUAGAUUGUUGGGAGAAAGGAACAGGAUCUCAAGACUGUAGUUAGCAAUGAGAAGAUUUUCGGAGAUCAUUGAUGAUUUGGAAUUAAGGGAUUUCCCUUUGCAAGGGGGGUCUUUCACGUGGAGGGGGGGGUUGAACAAUCAGACUCAGUCAAGGCUGGACAGAUUUUUAGUUUCAGAGGAUUGGGAAGGUUAUUUCAGUGGGGCAAUUCAAAGUCUUUUACCGAGAAUUGUUUCUGACCACUGCCCAAUUUUGCUGGACUGUGGGGGAACGAGGAAGGGGCCUUCCCCUUUUAGGUUUGAGAAUAUGUGGCUGAAGGAAGAAGGUUUUAGGGAUUUACUUAGGAAUUGGUGGGUGGGAUUCAAUUUCAGAGGUUCCUUUAGUUUCACGCUGUCUGAAAAGUUGAAAGCGCUUAAGGCCUGCUUGAAGGUGUGGAAUAGAGAAGUGUUUGGGAAUGUGAAUGCUAGAAAAGAAUCAGCUUUGAAGCAGAUGAUGCUGUGGGAUGCAAUAGAAGGGGAUAGGGUGCUGAAUACUGAAGAGCAAAAUUCCAGAAAGAAGGCUUUGGAGGAGUAUGAGAAGUGGGUGAUAAUGGAAGAGACAGCUUGGAGGCAAAAGUCGAGAGAGUUAUGGCUGAGGGAGGGAGACAAAAACACUGGAUACUUUCAUAAAAUGGCCAAUGCUCAUAGGAGGGUCAAUUCCAUGGUGAAGAUCAAGAUAAAUGGGACGUGGGUUUCUGAAGAAAGUGACAUCAAGGAGGGUGUGGUUCAGGCUUUCCACUCUCUGUUGUCAGAAACAGCUGAGUGGAGGCCUAGAUGCAAUGGGCUGCAGGUUGGGGUUUUAGAAGGGGAAAAUGCGACUAUGUUAGAAGCUCCUUUCUCUGAGGAAGAGGUUUUUGGAGCUCUUUCGGAUCUCAAUGGGGAUAAAGCUCCUGGUCCUGAUGGUUUCACAAUGGCAUUUUGGCAAUUCAGUUGGAGUUUUUUGAAGGAGGAAGUGAUGGGGUUCUUCAAGGAAUUUCAUGAUCAGGGCAAGUUCGUCAAGAGCAUAAAUGCAUCAUUUCUAGUGUUAAUUCCUAAGAAAGGAGGAGCCGAAGACCUCAAGGAUUUUAGACCUAUAAGCUUGGUGGGAAGUCUUUAUAAGCUGUUAGCAAAGGUGUUAGCUAAUAGGCUUAAAAAGGUGAUGGGUAAGUUAGUGUCCAAGUCCCAAAAUGCUUUUGUGGAGGGAAGGCAAAUAUUGGAUGCCUCGUUGAUUGCGAAUGAGGCGAUUCAUUCAAUGCAGAAUAGUGGGGGAGGGGGCAUCCUUUGCAAGCUAGAUAUUGAAAAAGCAUACGACCAUGUGAAUUGGAGUUUUCUCUUUUGGUUGAUGGAAAUGAUGGGCUUUGGAGCUAAGUGGAUCAGCUGGAUUCAGUGGUGUAUUGGGACUGUCAGCUUCUCUGUUCUGAUUAAUGGUACUUCCUCAGGUUUUUUCAAAAUUUCUAGGGGUUUGAGACAGGGGGAUCCCCUUUCCCCCUACUUGUUCGUGAUUGUCAUGGAGGCUCUUAGUUGCUUGCUGAAGAGAGCAAAGGAGGGGGGGUUUUUGUCGGGGUGGCAACUCAGUGGUAGAGGAGGGGGGGGAGUGGAGAUCACUCAUUUGCUGUUUGCGGAUGACACCUUAGUUUUUUGUGAGCCUUCCACUGAUCAGGUGUCCUAUUUGAGUUGGCUCCUUAUGUGGUUUGAAGCAAUGUCAGGGUUGAAGGUGAAUUUAGACAAAAGUGAAAUCAUCGCGGUGGGAAGAGUGGAGAAUGUAGAGGAGGUGGCCCUUGAGUUUGGAUGCAAGGUUAGCAGGCUUCCUUCUACUUAUUUGGGUCUUCCCUUGGGGGCUCGUUUCAAGGAGGUGGCUACUUGGGACGGAGUUGAGGAAAGGUUGAGGAAGAGGCUUUCUAUUUGGAAAAGGCAGUAUAUCUCCAAGGGGGGCAGAAUGACCUUGAUCAGGAGCACUCUGUCCAGCAUGCCUAUCUAUUGUAUGUCCCUGUUUCAGAUGCCAAGAAGCGUGAGUUUGAGAUUGGAGCGUAUCCAAAGGGAUUUUCUUUGGGGUGGUGGGGCAUUGGAAAGGAAGCCUCAUUUAGUGGAAUGGUCUAUUAUAUGUUCAGAUAAACGAAAGGGCGGUUUGGGUGUGAGGAGCUUGGCGUUGCUAAAUAAGGCCCUCCUUUGUAAGUGGAGUUGGCGUUUUGCGGUGGAAAGGGAAGCUUUAUGGAGGCAAGUCAUAAGUGCAAAGUAUGGGGAAGAAGAGGGUGGUUGGAGGUCUUGUGUUGUGAGAGGAAGUUAUGGGGUUGGGUUAUGGAAAGCGAUUAGGAGAGGGUGGGAAGCGGUAGGCAACAAUUUGGCUUAUGCUGUGGGAAAUGGUAGGAGGAUUAGAUUCUGGGAGGAUAAGUGGUGUGGUGAUGAUAAGUUGUGUUCCCUUUUUCCUUCUCUAUAUGCUAUAUCCUUGGAUAAGGAGGCUUGGGUAGCGGAUGUAUGGAGUCAUUCUGGAGGGGGAGUGUGGGCUCCUAGGUUCUCUAGGAGUAUUAAUGAUUGGGAGGUAAUUGAGGUAGAACGCCUUCUUUUGAGGUUGCAAGGGAGGAGGGUUUACAGUGAUGUGGAAGAUGAAGUAAUUUGGACUAAGGCAAAGGACAAAAGAUUCUCAGUUAAGUCUCUUUACAAGGACUUGGACCCGGAAAGACGUGAAGAAUUUCCUGCAAAUAUCAUUUGGAAUUCUUUGGUGCUGCCGAGGGUAAGUUUUUUUGUUUGGGAGGCCACGUGGAAAAAGUCCAUAACAUUGGAUCGUCUUCAAAGAAGAGGGUUCUCCUUGGCUAAUAGAUGCUAUUUGUGUUUGGUAGAGGAAGAAUCCAUUGAUCACAUACUCUUGCAUUGUGGGCUGGCCAGAAGUUUAUGGAGCUUACUUUUCUCUCUAUUUGGAGUUUCAUGGGUGCUCCCCUCUUCAAUAAGAGAAGCGUUAUUGGGGUGGUUAGGGCCUUGUGUGGGAAAGGAAAGGAGGAAAGUGUGGCGUUCAGCACCCUUGUGCCUCUUUUGGAUUGUUUGGAAGGAAAGAAACAGUAGGGCUUUUGAGAAUGUAGAGCAUACGUUUCAGGGGUGUAAAUCGGCUUUACUUUGUAAUCUGUGGGCGUGGUCCAGGGGUUUUUUUGUUUCUGGUCCCACUUCAGUUGUAGAUUUUGUUGAUUGGAUAGGCCAUGGGUAAAGGUUUUUUUUGUAUACCUCCUGUAUACUUAGGGGUGCUUCCUUGAAGUGCCUCUUUUUAUUAAUAUAUUGUCUCUUUAUUCAUCAAAAAAAUUAGCCUAUGCACAGCAUACUCGAUUGGAAGGAUAUUCACAAGUUGGUCUUGUCUUGCUGAAAAAAAUUUUCUGUAACAUUUUAGUUGUAUAUGUAUAUAUGUAUAUUGCGAACUAUUCCUGUAGCUUACAUCUGAAGUUUGUUGUAUCUUGAGGGAUGAUGGGAAUAAAAAGGAUAAUAGGUCAACAUGCAUAACUUGGAAUUUAAAACUCACAGUUCACAGUACCAGGCCACUGUGCUGGGGUGGGCAAGGGAGAUGCUGUUACCUAGUUGGUAUUUCCUCUGUAAACAAGAUGAGGAGUCAGAAUAUAAUGUUCUUAUUCAUUGUAGGUGGGAUUGCAAUUUGUGGUAUUUGGUUUUCUCUUUAUUUGGGAUUUCUUGGGUGCUUCCUCAUUCUAUCAAGGAUCUUUUGUGAGGUUAGCUCAUGAGUUUUGGAAAGAAAUGGAAGAGAGGAUUGUAUUUCUUUGUUUGAUGUGGUUCAUUUGGAGUGAGCAGAGGAGAAGAUGUUUUAAGGGAGUAGAGAGCUCAGAGGAAGUGUUGGAAAUCUUCUUUAUAAAUUCUUUGUAUUAUUGAUCUAACAGCGUCUAUGUUGUAAUUUUAGCUAUACUCUUAAUUUUUUUUUUUACUGUUUAGGAAGGGUUAAGGUACUCUUUUUUGUUGCCCUUGGUUCUCUUUGUAUGUAUCCUUUGUACUUUUGCUUUCUUAUACAAGUAUGGGUGCACAAUUCUUAUAGGAUACUUGCUACUUGAUUUUGAUUGAUUUAUUUCUUAUUUUCAACUUCCUUAACAGAUAAUACAUUGAAAAAAAGGGAGUUUACAGGGAGUGAAUUUUUAUAAAAUAUUGAAGGAUAAGAAAGGAAAGGUGGGAUAAAAUAAAAAGAAGAAUUCUUAUCAUAGAUAUCUAUGUUUAUUUUAUUUUAUUUUAUUGAUAUUUCUGUUUUUCCUUUUAUUAUAAUGUCUCCAAGUCUCUAUACCUGUUAUUGAAAUCAUUUUUUGCUGAACAGACCCUUUUAUCCCAAAAUUUCUUGGUGUAAAUGAUCAACACCUACACACAAACCCGCACGUGACAUGCAUUUGAGGAAACCCAACUCACAUCAAUUUCUUUCACUAAGUAGAGGACAUUCUUCAUCAAAUAUUCCUUCCUGAUUUACCAAAAUAAUUGAGAGAACAGAGGGUGUCUUUUAUUCAUAACAUAAGUCUCAUAUAUAACCAUUUAAAAACUUGAUAUUUCUGAAACAAGAUUGUAUGAAGCAAAAACUUUUCCAACUAAGUUUGUUUAAACUAAUAAACCUAGAGAUGGAACUCCUUAAAAGACACUGUUAGCAUUAAACUUUCCUGUUUUGGCCAAGUAGAGCCCACUUAAAAGGUAAUAUUAUUAAAUUCAAGGCUAUGGUAAAUGGCUUUAGAAAAGUGACCUUGACUUUAAGUAAUGAAACAAGUAAAAGACCCAAUCUCCAUAUGAAUAUAUAUACUCCCCCAGAAAACCUAUAUGAAGUGGGAGCCAAUACAAAAAGUUAAACGUAAAUGGCUUUAAAAAAAGUGACCUUGACUAUAAGUAAUCAAACAAAUAAAAGACCCAAUCUCCAUAUGAAUAACUAUAUGCUCCCAGAAAACCUAUAUGAAGUGGGAACCAAUACAAAAAGUUAAACUAGGUGAUCUACAUUUAGGCAUGUCAAUUCCAAACCCAACCCACCCGAUUUUAAACUUGGGUUGGCCUUAGAGCAUAAAUAUGGUGGCUCGAUGAUCCCAAAUCUAAAGGACUGAUUUUAUUUAGCCUGGGAAACAUGAAGGUUUUGUGGAGAUUUUUACAUUGAUAGUAUGUAAUAUAUGUAUUUUUUAACUUCAUUCUUAUACAAAUAUCAAUGCUAUUCUCCACAAGAUGACAACUUAUCAUUCCAGUCAAAGGUUAGGGAGUUCAGGACCUUUAACUUCAGAUUCUUUUCUCCCCUUCCUGUUGACAAGGAUACAUUGGCUGAAGUUGGAGGAUCUAGGUACUAUAGGUUUUCCUAUGUGUUGCAUGGUGGCUUGUGAGGUUUGUCUAAAGCGUCUGAAGGGGGCCAUAUUGGGCCUUCCAUGUUUGGGCCUUGUACUGUGGCUUUGGAGGGGCUGGCCUUUAGUGGUGGACUAGUGGUUAAGUUGACCCAAGAAGGGUUUUUAAACCCCUUUGCCAAUGUGUCUCUUGGUUCUCAAGAGCUUCUUGACGUUCCCCUUAUUCAGGUGAAGUCACAGGGCCAGAGUGGGAGUCGGGUGUCAAUGAUGUCCUUGUGGUAGAAGCAACUGGUUUUGGAGGUAGGUUUUCUUCCCUCACUCUUCCUUCUCCGAUGGGGUCUCCCUUUCUCAGCGCAGCAUGUGAUGAUGCAACGGGAGGGCCUUGCUUGGGGUUGCUGGGUUCGUGGAUCCAACUGCUAAAUUUGCUACUUCAAGAUGGGAGGUUGGUGGAUCUCACGGGGAAUGCAACAAAGGAUUCCUUGGAUGAGGAUUUGGAAGUUAGGGUAGAGGAGUUGGAGGUCAGUAAAGCUUUGAAGAUUGUUAGGGUUUCAGAGGAGGGGAAGCUUGGCCUCUAAAAAGUUUGUUACAUUCAGCAACUUUUUGGGACUCCCAGUGGCAGGGCUUGAGAAGGAAAUCAAUUCCCUUCUUAAGAAAAUGGAGUCAAGAAAAGUUCAUAGGGUUAAGGUUGCAGGAGGAAAGAAGAAAUUGCUUUUGACUACUUGAUUGGAGAAGGAGAUCCAAAAACUUGAAUGCUUGGUCAAUUACAAUUGCUCUCCUCUCUUAGCCAAGGGAAAGGGGAAGGGAGCAAUGGUUCCAAGUUGCUUCUUGUUGACAUGGCUUUCUUCAAUUCCUGUUUGGUUGUGGGUUUUGGGCUCUAGAAGGUUUGUGGCGCGUUUCUUUGUUUCUUGCUAGGCCUUAGAGGUUGUUUGGGUGUGGGUUGUGUUUUAGCACUAGUACUUCCCACUGGGGAGAGUUGGUUUGUUCUAGAAUGUUGUGGUUUGGUUGGCUUUAGGGUGGUUGGUAUUUUACUUUCUCUCUUAUUAGCCUUUUGUGUGUGUUGUAUACUUCGUUGUGUACUUUAAUGCACAUUUUUGUUAGUGCUCUUUAAUAUAUGAGUUACCUAUCAAAAAAAAAGAAAAAAGAAAAAGAUAAUUGCACUCAGUAAUUGUGUGUCAAAUUUGCUUUUGGUCUUCCUCUUCUGGCCCUUCACCAAAUUUGAAACUCCUAAAAAUUCAGGAAUGCACAUUUGAAGACCAAAAUAAUUUGAAUUUUUAAAAUGUAAUUUUACAUAUGCUAUCGACACAAUAUUGAAGUUGUUGUCGUUGGACUCACUUCCAUCUCAAGAAUCAAUGGUGGAAACUCUUCAAUGACAUGCUCUGUUUAGUGUGCAAUUCUGCUCGUUUUACCAAGGUCUUUGUUGGCCUUUCUUUGUCUGUUCUUGCUAGAUGGUAGUGAUUGUAGUCAAUUCACUAAGCAAUUUGUCAAAAUUUAGAACAUGGAAAUUUGUUGCAUUAUCCUGAUACACACUGUUUCAUGCUGAGUUGUGUCACUGGAAGGCCUGCUAACUUAGAUACGUUGGUUGAAUAGGGUGCUAUAGAUAUCAUGUGACAUGUGAAUGAGCAAUUUGUCUGUCACAUGUGUGUUUGAUGCAUUUAAUAUGUUACGGAAUGA